rnacentral:rRNA from 1 species
GCAGGGAAUAUUGCGCAAUGGGGGAAACCCUGACGCAGCGACGCCGCGUGAGUGAUGAAGGCCUUCGGGUCGUAAAGCUCUGUUGCAGGGGAAUAAAAAAAUGAAGGUACCCUGUGAGGAAGGAUCGGCUAACUUCGUGCCAGCAGCCGCGGUAAGACGAGGGAUCCUAGCGUUGCUCGGAAUCAUUGGGCGUAAAGAGGGCGUAGGUGGCUUGGUAAGUCAGGUGUGAAAGCCCAGGGCUCAACCCUGGAAGUGCAUUUGAUACUGCUGAGCUUGAGUGUCGGAGAGGUUACCGGAAUACCUGGUGUAGUGGUGAAAUACGUAGAUAUCAGGUGGAACACCGGAGGCGAAGGCGGGUAACUGGACGAACACUGACACUGAGGCCCGAAAGCGUGGGGAUCAAACAGGAUUAGAUACCCUUGUAGUCC